AGUGAACGCUGGCGGUAGGCCUAACACAUGCAAGUCGAACGGCAGCACAGUAAGAGCUUGCUCUUACGGGUGGCGAGUGGCGGACGGGUGAGGAAUACAUCGGAAUCUACUUUUUCGUGGGGGAUAACGUAGGGAAACUUACGCUAAUACCGCAUACGACCUACGGGUGAAAGCAGGGGAUCUUCGGACCUUGCGCGAUUGAAUGAGCCGAUGUCGGAUUAGCUAGUUGGCGGGGUAAAGGCCCACCAAGGCGACGAUCCGUAGCUGGUCUGAGAGGAUGUUCAGCCCCCCUGGACCUGAGACACGGUCCAGACUCCUACGGGCGGCAGCAGUGGGGAAUAUUGGACAAUGGGCGCAAGCCUGAUCCAGCCAUACCGCGUGGGUGAAGAAGGCCUUCGGGUUGUAAAGCCCUUUUGUUGGGAAAGAAAAGCAGCAGGUUAAUACCCCGCUGUUCUGACGGUACCCAAAGAAUAAACACCGGCGAACUUCAG
rnacentral:rRNA from 1 species